GACGAACGCUGGCGGCGUGCUUAACACAUGCAAGUCGAACGGAAAGGCCCUGCUUUUGUGGGGUGCUCGAGUGGCGAACGGGUGAGUAACACGUGAGUAACCUGCCCUUGACUUUGGGAUAACUUCAGGAAACUGGGGCUAAUACCGGAUAGGAGCUCCUGCUGCAUGGUGGGGGUUGGAAAGUUUCGGCGGUUGGGGAUGGACUCGCGGCUUAUCAGCUUGUUGGUGGGGUAGUGGCUUACCAAGGCUUUGACGGGUAGCCGGCCUGAGAGGGUGACCGGCCACGUUGGGACUGGAAUACGGCCCAGACUCCAACGGGAGGCAGCGGUGGGGAAGAGUGCACAAUGGACGGAAGCCUGAUGCAGCAACGCCGCGUGCGGUAUGACGGCCUUCGGUUUGUAAACCGCUGUCGCCUGUGACGAAGCGUGAGUGACGGUAAUGGGUAAAGAAGCACCGGCUAACUACGUG
rnacentral:rRNA from 1 species